rnacentral:rRNA from 1 species
GAGUUUGAUCCUGGCUCAGGACGAACGCUGGCGGCGUGCCUAACACAUGCAAGUCGAACGGGGUUGAGUGCUUCGGUAUUCAACCUAGUGGCGAACGGGUGAGUAACGCGUGAAGAACCUGCCUUUCAGUGGGGGACAACAGUUGGAAACGACUGCUAAUACCGCAUGACACUUCUGAGUGGCAUCACUUAGAAGUCAAAGCUUUAUGUGCUGAAAGAUGGCUUCGCGUCUGAUUAGCUAGUUGGCGGGUAACGGCCCACCAAGGCGACGAUCAGUAGCCGACCUGAGAGGGUGACCGGCCACAUUGGGACUGAGACACGGCCCAAACUCCUACGGGAGGCAGCAGUGGGGAAUAUUGCACAAUGGGGGAAACCCUGAUGCAGCGACGCCGCGUGAGCGAAGAAGUAUUUUCGGUAUGUAAAGCUCUAUCAGCAGGGAAGAAAAUGACGGUACCUGACUAAGAAGCCCCGGCUAACUACGUGCCAGCCGCCGCAGUAAG